AUCCACAGCAAGCUGGUCGUUCUAAAUUUCAACAUGUUGACAGUUUUGUUAUGUUGUUUUCAAGCGCACCUCGUUGGAUUUUGGUUAAUUGCCAGGCCUUGUUUUGUUUGGCCUUUAAGACAGCGGCUAUCUGAUUGGGGAAUUUCUGCUCAGCUGCGGUAUUUGAUUGAGCCAUCCCACAGGUAGUGCAGCGGAGUUACCCCACUGCUUUUCGGGUAGUUAUGUUAAUUUGGACCGGAAAGCAGAGGGGCUAUAGGCCUGCGGAAUACGACACACAGCAUCAGCCUGACACGAUAAAAGAACUCAUCUGGAUGAAGCAGCGGCUGCCCGUGGAUGACCAUCUUGGUGAGGAUUCCUCGCAAGUGUGUAUUGUAAAGAACGUGAGGGCAGAUGUAUUUAUCUUCAAAAGGCAAAAGAAAGUGAGAAAUGCAGCAGCCAGUCACCUCCAGUUUGGCUAAUGUGUUUAUCAUUUCUUUAUGCCUUCUCCAGGUUAAUACAUCUGGACCCUGGUCUCCACUAAAGUUGGGAAGAGUGAGUGUGCGUGUGUGAGCUUUUUCCUUUUUCCAGAGGUCUGUUUUAUAGGGAGUCUUCUUCCACAAGUUACGCUGCGGAGACCCACUUCGCCAGUCAAGGCUGCCCCAAUUGGACCCCUGGACAGAUGAUGUUUGGCAUGCAGAGGGGCUAUGGGCCUGCGGAAUCCGGCACACAGCAUCAGCCUGCCACGAUGCAAGAAGUUCACCUGGGUGAAGCUGCAGCUGCUUCUGGAUGACAGCCUUGUUG